CAAGGAAUUUUGGGCAAUGGGCGAAAGCCUGACCCAGCAACACCGCGUGGGGGAUGACGGCCCUCGGGUUGUAAACCCCUUUUCUCAGGGAAGAAUAAUGACGGUACCUGAGGAAUAAGCUUCGGCGAACUACGUGCCAGCAGCCGCGGUAAUACGUAGGAAGCGAGCGUUAUCCGGAAUUACUGGGCGUAAAGCGCGCGUAGGUGGUCUUUCAAGUCGAAUGUGAAAUUUCCCGGCUUAACCGGGAAGGGUCGUUCGAUACUGUUGGACUAGAGAGCGGCAGGGGGAAGCGGAAUUCCCGGUGUAGUAGUGAAAUGCGUAGAUAUCGGGAGGAACACCAGUGGCGAAGGCGGCUUCCUGGGCUGUUUCUGACACUGAGGCGCGAAAGUGUGGGGAGCGAACAG
rnacentral:rRNA from 1 species